GACGAACGCUGGCGGCGUGCCUAAUACAUGCAAGUUGAGCGCUGAAGGUUGGUACUUGUACCAACUGGAUGAGCAGCGAACGGGUGAGUAACGCGUGGGGAAUCUGCCUUUGAGCGGGGGACAACAUUUGGAAACGAAUGCUAAUACCGCAUAAGAACUUUAAACACAAGUUUUAAGUUUGAAAGAUGCAAUUGCAUCACUCAAAGAUGAUCCCGCGUUGUAUUAGCUAGUUGGUGAGGUAAAGGCUCACCAAGGCGAUGAUACAUAGCCGACCUGAGAGGGUGAUCGGCCACAUUGGGACUGAGACACGGCCCAAACUCCUACGGGAGGUAGCAGUAGGGAAUCUUCGGCAAUGGACGAAAGUCUGACCGAGCAACGCCGCGUGAGUGAAGAAGGUUUUCGGAUCGUAAAACUCUGUUGGUAGAGAAGAACGUUGGUGAGAGUGGAAAGCUCAUCAAGUGACGGUAACUACCCAGAAAGGGACGGCUAACUACGUGCCAGCCGCCGCCGUAA
rnacentral:rRNA from 1 species